AAGCCAGAUACACACCUACUCCAUUUCCAAACCCUACUGACCAGCAAGUGAUCAUCAGCACGAGGAUUAAAGGUGAACGAAAGGUUAAAUCUAAUAGAAACAAAUGGGUCAAAAAGAUGCUCCAACCUCCAGAAUACCAGUAGACCAAUACAGUAAACCAAUAGGAAGACAAGACUACAAGAAAAAACAAGCCUGUAUUAAAAGCAACAAGAUUAAAAGCUGAAGCCAAGGAAACAGCAAUAGGGAUAAAGGAGGUGAUCCUGGUCACCAUUGCUGUCUUGGUGUUUCUGUUGCAUUCUGCGCCUUCUUCUUCCUUAACUUGACAAAGACAGACAUUGAUAAAGACUCCGGUAUCUAGUAUCUUCAGAAUAAUUUCUCGUUGCAUUUCAUAGGUCCAAAUUGGUGAACGAUUAUAAAUUUGUUACAAUUUUUUUUUGCAGGAUGUAAAUGUGCAUUGUACUGUUCAGACAUUGUGUUUAUAUAAUCCUUGCCAUAAUAAUGCUGUAAAAGUAAUUAAGAAUUUUUGGGUGACUGAUAAUUCCAAUAUGCUGUAUCCUCAAGUAUUAAUGCAAAAACCAUUUUAAUUAGAAAUCUCAGAAUAUUUUUCACAUUUUCUUUUUUACUUGAUGAUGAUUUUAUUGUUAUAAUUAAUGAUUUAAAGAACAUUUUUUAAUGCCAGUUUUGCCAAUUUUUAAUCUCCCAUUAUCAAUAUAAGCAGAUGCAUUUUCUAGCAUCUCGUCAAGGAUGCUGAAAUGAGUUCAUCAAUGCUGUACUGUGAAUUUUACUUUAUUACAUAAUGAAAUGUAAUAUACUGGGAGCACACAAUUAUAACAGGUCAAAUUUAUAAAUAAAAUAUACAU